rnacentral:rRNA from 1 species
GAUGAACGCUGGCGCCGUGCCUAACACAUGCAAGUCGAACGGACAUUUUUUGGAAAGCUCUUCGGAACUGGAAUCUAAAUGUUAGUGGCGGACGGGUGAGUAACGCGUGAGCAAUCUGCCUUUCAGAGGGGGAUAACAGCCGGAAACGGCCGCUAAUACCGCAUAAUGCAUUGGAUUCGCAUGUUUCUGAUGCCAAAGAUUUUAUCGCUGAAAGAUGAGCUCGCGUCUGAUUAGCUAGUUGGCGGGGUAACGGCCCACCAAGGCGACGAUCAGUAGCCGGACUGAGAGGUUGAACGGCCACAUUGGGACUGAGACACGGCCCAAACUCCUACGGGAGGCAGCAGUGGGGAAUAUUGCACAAUGGGCGAAAGCCUGAUGCAGCGACGCCGCGUGAGUGAAGAAGUAUUUCGGUAUGUAAAGCUCUAUCAGCAGGGAAGAAAAUGACGGUACCUGACUAAGAAGCCCCGGCUAACUACGUGCCAGCAGCCGCGGUAAUACGUAGGGGGCAAGCGUUAUCCGGAUUUACUGGGUGUAAAGGGAGCGUAGACGGCGAAGCAAGUCUGAAGUGAAAACCCAGGGCUCAACCCUGGGACUGCUUUGGAAACUGUUUUGCUAGAGUGUCGGAGAGGUAAGUGGAAUUCCUGGUGUAGCGGUGAAAUGCGUAGAUAUUAGGAGGAACACCAGUGGCGAAGGCGGCUUACUGGACGAUAACUGACGUUGAGGCUCGAAAGCGUGNGGAGCAAACAGG